GGUUCUUUUUCUCCGCCAAUGGUGAUAGAUUUGGCACCAAAAAAAGAAGAGAAGAAACAUGACAGUCAUUGUUUCCACAGUGGAAAGCCCAGAGUCUUCCCUGGAGAAGAGUGCUGAUGACGAGGAUUCAUGUCUCACAACCCAGCACACAGGAAUGAUGUCACACAGGGUUCAAAUUCUAUCUUCAGCAUAGUGAGCCCAAACAAAACCAAUUCCUUUCAUGCCCUCUACUGGAUAUUUGAAGUUAAACGUCAAUAACACUGCAAAGUAACCAAAAUAAUGAUACACAUAA
rnacentral:lncRNA from 1 species